GGAAGUUGGGUGUGCCUUCCCCCGCGAUGGUUUCGUCCUCAACCUUGAAAUAACAAGAUAAACUCAAUAAUCACAUCCAAUCAACAAUCUAAAAUGAAAGGAAGGAAACUCGAGGCUUACCUAACCGGAAAUAUAGAAGUGACUCGUCGGAGAUCCGUCCUAGGUUCGUUGACCUCGCAAAGAUGAGAGGGAGAGAGAGAGAGAGAACAAGAUUUAGAUGGUGAUGAUGGUUCCCUCGAGCGAGGUGCGGCUGUGCAUGCGCAUGGAUGAGUGAGUGGUCAUGGCGAGAGAGGGAAUGAUAGGGUUUGG
rnacentral:lncRNA from 1 species